rnacentral:rRNA from 1 species
AUGGCCGAGUGGUGCUUGGGAUUUUUGCGGUUUGAGGAUGUUGAUCGGUUUCGGGUUGUAAAGCGGACUAAACAUGCAGCAGCAACAGGGCGAGCUGAAUCAUCUACCAGGGCAGUAGUUGGUCGAGGAGCUGCCUCAUCUUCCGUAGCAGAUGCUGAGGCCAGCGGUGAAGGAGUUGAGGUGGCUGCCCGGGAAGAUGUGGAGCGACCAUCACAAGCUGGCAGGAUAAGGGCAUCACCAAGGUGGUUUGAGAAGUUCAACAACUCGCUAUCCCCGCCGCAGAAGUCUGUGCUAGUCUCAAGGUUGUUUGGGGGCCUCUUGAACUUAUCAGAUACACUUUCAGGGGACUUCAGUAAAUUCUUGGUGCAGUUCUACCAGCCAGAGACCUCUGAAAUGGUGUUCCCGGGCAGGGGAAGGAUCUGUGUCGAUGCUGACAAUGUUCAAAGGGUAUUUGAUCUUACUAAUAGGGGUCAAAAAGUCAGAUAUGUAGUUGACAAGGAUGCAACUAGGAGAUUCAGAGAGGCUUUCAACGUACAUGGAGAUUCUCAUCCCCAAAUCACUACAUGGUGCAAGAUGAUUAAGGAUAUGGUGAAGCAAACUAUUUUCUGCUGCUUGUAUCACUUGAUGAUCUUAUACCUUGACGCACUCGUUCAUGACAUCCCAGUAAGUAACUGCGUGAUACGAGCGAAUGCAUGGGACAUUAACCUAAUUGCCAAGGUGAUCAAGUAG